rnacentral:rRNA from 1 species
UACGAGGGGGGCGAGCGUUGUUCGGAAUUAUUGGGCGUAAAGGGCGCGUAGGCGGUCGGAUAAGUCUUGUGUGAAAUCUUCGGGCUCAACUCGAAGUCUGCACAGGAAACUAUCUGGCUUGAGUGUGGGAGAGGUGAGUGGAAUUCCUGGUGUAGCGGUGAAAUGCGUAGAUAUCAGGAGGAACACCUGUGGCGAAAGCGGCUCACUGGACCACAACUGACGCUGAGGCGCGAAAGCUAGGGGAGCAACCAGG